rnacentral:lncRNA from 1 species
AAAAUAAAGAAGCACAGCCAAUUGUUUUGAGAGUAUUAUAAUUCGGACUCUGUAAGUUUUUUUUCAACAAAGUUUUACACACGUGAACGCAAGACAUUGGCAUAAUGUUUUUAUCUUGUGCGGUUACAUCACUGCUCUAGGUUAAGUGCUCACGCACAUGUUUAACCCCAACAUAUUAUGUAUGGGCCUGCAGUGCAUUGGUUUUCGGUGGUUUAUGUCUGUUAUAAAUUUUUUUCGGAAUUGUUUUUUAUUAUAAAUAAGACCGUUAAGUCUCUUAAUUAAAUUGUUUACAUUUUUUUAUGUUGUGGCCUUUUAUAGCCUUUGCGUUAUGGGUUUUUAUCAUUGUUGAAAGCCGUAUGGUUUAUAAUUCAAUUUGCUCACAUCCAUUUUAUUUGAACUCUGGUGUAUAGUUGUCCCUCUGGAAAUCAUACCAAUCUCUUAAAUUUAAAAAUUGAUAUCACAACCUGUUUACAUACUUAGUGUAGUAUGUAACAAAUUAAAAAAAAACACACACACACAUUUCUUUUUUUAAGGGC